UACGUAGGGGGCAAGCGUUGUCCGGAAUCAUUGGGCGUAAAGCGCGCGUAGGCGGCCCGGUAAGUCCGUUGUGAAAGUCAAAGGCUCAACCUUUGAACGCCGAUGGAUACUGCCGGGCUAGAGUCCGGAAGAGGCGAGUGGAAUUCCUGGUGUAGCGGUGGAAUGCGCAGAUAUCAGGAGGAACACCGGUGGCGAAGGCAGGUCUCUGGCAUUAACUGACGCUGAGGAGCGAAAGCAUGGGGAGCG
rnacentral:rRNA from 1 species